rnacentral:rRNA from 1 species
CCCCGGUAAACGGCGGCCGUAACUAUAACGGUCCUAAGGUAGCGAAAUUCCUUGUCGGGUAAGUUCCGACCUGCACGAAUGGCGUAAUGAUGGCCAGGCUGUCUCCACCCGAGACUCAGUGAAAUUGAACUCGCUGUGAAGAUGCAGUGUACCCGCGGCAAGACGGAAAGACCCCGUGAACCUUUACUAUAGCUUGACACUGAACAUUGAGCCUUGAUGUGUAGGAUAGGUGGGAGGCUUUGAAGUGUGGACGCCAGUCUGCAUGGAGCCGACCUUGAAAUACCACCCUUUAAUGUUUGAUGUUCUAACGUGGACCCGUAAUCCGGGUUGCGGACAGUGUCUGGUGGGUAGUUUGACUGGGGCGGUCUCCUCCUAAAGAGUAACGGAGGAGCACGAAGGUUGGCUAAUCCUGGUCGGACAUCAGGAGGUUAGUGCAAUGGCAUAAGCCAGCUUGACUGCGAGCGUGACGGCGCGAGCAGGUGCGAAAGCAGGUCAUAGUGAUCCGGUGGUUCUGAAUGGAAGGGCCAUCGCUCAACGGAUAAAAGGUACUCCGGGGAUAACAGGCUGAUACCGCCCAAGAGUUCAUAUC